GAUGAAGAACGUAGCGAAAUGCGAUAAGUAAUGUGAAUUGCAGAAUUCAGUGAAUCAUCGAAUCUUUGAACGCACAUUGCGCCCCUUGGUAUUCCGGGGGGCAUGCCUGUUCGAGCGUCAUUAUAACCCCUCAAGCUCAGCUUGGUGUUGGGGCCUGCCAACUGGCAGCCCUUAAAAUCAGUGGCGGCGCCAUCUGGCUCUAAGCGUAGUAAUUUCUCUCGCUAUAGGGUCCCGGUGGAUGCUUACCAACAACCCCCAAUUUUCUAUGGUUGACCUCGCAUCAGGUAGGGAUACCCGCUGAACUUAAGCAUAUCAAUAAGCGGAGGA
rnacentral:misc_RNA from 1 species